rnacentral:rRNA from 1 species
UACGAAGGGGGCUAGCGUUGUUCGGAAUCACUGGGCGUAAAGCGUACGCAGGCGGCUUUGCAAGACAGGUGUGAAAUCCCCGGGCCUAACCUGGGAACUGCAUUUGUGACUGCAUAGCUAGAGUUUGUCAGAGGGGGGUGGAAUUCCACGUGUAGCAGUGAAAUGCGUAGAUAUGUGGAGGAACACCGAUGGCGAAGGCAGCCCCCUGGGAUGUGACUGACGCUCAUGUACGAAAGCGUGGGGAGCAAACAGG